rnacentral:rRNA from 1 species
UACGAAGGGGACUAGCGUUGUUCGGAAUUACUGGGCGUAAAGCGCGCGUAGGCGGAUCGCUAAGUCAGGGGUGAAAUCCCAGGGCUCAACCCUGGAACUGCCUUUGAUACUGACGAUCUGGAGAUCGGGAGAGGUUGGUGGAAUUCCGAGUGUAGAGGUGAAAUUCGUAGAUAUUCGGAGGAACACCAGAAGCGAAGGCGGCCAACUGGCCCGAUACUGACGCUGAUGCGCGAAAGCCAGGGGAGCGAACGGG